GUGGAUUAGAUACCCUAGUAGUCCACGCUGUAAACGAUGAAUGCUAGGUGUAGCGGGUAUCGACCCCUGCUGUGCCGGAGUAAACACAAUAAGCAUUCCGCCUGGGGAGUACGGCCGCAAGGUUGAAACUCAAAGGAAUUGACGGGGGCCCGCACAAGCAGCGGAGCAUGUUGUUUAAUUCGAAGCAACGCGAAGAACCUUACCAGGUCUUGACAUCGAGGAAAACUUCUAGAGAUAGAAGGUGCCUUCGGGCAUCCGAAGACAGGUGGUGCACGGUUGUCGACAACU
rnacentral:rRNA from 1 species